UGGGGAAUUUUGGACAAUGGGCGAAAGCCUGAUCCAGCAAUGCCGCGUGUGUGAAGAAGGCCUUCGGGUUGUAAAGCACUUUUGUCCGGAAGGAAAUCCUUGGCUCUAAUACAGUCGGGGGAUGACGGUACCGGAAGAAUAAGCACCGGCUAACUACGUGCCAGCAGCCGCGGUAAUACGUAGGGUGCAAGCGUUAAUCGGAAUUACUGGGCGUAAAGCGUGCGCAGGCGGUUUGCUAAGACCGAUGUGAAAUCCCCGGGCUCAACCUGGGAACUGCAUUGGUGACUGGCAGGCUAGAGUAUGGCAGAGGGGGGUAGAAUUCCACGUGUAGCAGUGAAAUGCGUAGAGAUGUGGAGGAAUACCGAUGGCGAAGGCAGCCCCCUGGGCCAAUACUGACGCUCAUGCACGAAAGCGUGGGGAGCAAACAGGAUUAGAUACCCUGGUAGUCCACGCCCUAAACGAUGUCAACUAGUUGUUGGGGAUUCAUUUCCUUAGUAGCGUAGCUAACGCGUGAAGUUGACCGCCUGGGGAGUACGGUCGCAAGAUUAAAACUUAAAUGAAUUGACGGGGUCAUGCUG
rnacentral:rRNA from 1 species